GUGUUUCUGACCUUACAGCUGUCAGUAACCCUGAGGUCAUGGAGGAACUGAAUCCAAAAGCCUAAAUGACAAACAACCACCCUGAACACAGUUCAUGAAUAAAUUCUGCACUGGAAAAAGGAGCGGUGCCACCACAUUCUCUCUGUAAACUGGGAGUUCAUUGAUUAUUCAUCAUCAUAUCAUGAACUGAUAGAAUCAGGGUUGUGAAUCUAGUAAUAGAUGCUUAUUGAUUGGAGUACAAAGAAAACUAAUCUGGAAAAUAAGUUGACAAAUAUUUUAUAAACAUUAUCAAACAUAAACGGUGACAAAUUUCCUGAUGAUCAAAUGUUUGCUUAAAUGUGCAUAAAUCAAAUGAGGAUUCAUAUUUUCUGAAAUGAAAACAUCACAGUGCUUCAUACAAACAUAAUUGAUGUUAAAUUUGUGCAUUCAUCUAAAAAUAUUAAACAUAGUUACAGUUCAA